UGCACUUACAAGCUGUGGAAGCACAUUUCUUGUGUGACCGCGUACUUUUUGUAGAACGGGCCAACGAGUUACGUUAAGUAGCAAGGUUAAGCACUUAAGGUGUGGAGCCGUAGCGAAAGCGAGUUUUAACUGGGCGUUCAGUUACUUGACGUAGACCCGAAACCGGGCGACCUACCCAUGAGCAGGAUGAAGCGAAAGUAAAAUUUCGUGGAGGUCCGAACCCACGAGCGUUGAAAAGCUCGGGGAUGACUUGUGGGUAGCGGUGAAAUUCCAAUCGAG
rnacentral:rRNA from 1 species